rnacentral:rRNA from 1 species
GAGUUUGAUCUUGGCUCAGGAUGAACGCUAGCGGCAUGCCUAACACAUGCAAGUCGUACGAAAUUAUUUUUAGUGGCGGACGGGUGAGUAACGCGUGAGGAUCUACCUUUAGGAAAGGAAUAUAAAACCUUAUAUGCUUUAUGGUAAAAAAAGAAAUUUGCCUAGAGAUGAACUCGCGUCUGAUUAGUUAGUUGGUGGGGUAAUGGCUUACCAAGACGAUGAUCAGUGGCUGGUUUGAGAGGAUGAUCAGCCACAUUGGAACUGAGACCCGGUCCAAACUCCUACGGGAGGCAGCAGUGGGGAAUUUUCUGCGAUGGGCGCAAGCUUGACAGAGCAAUGCCGCGUGAGGGAUGACGGCCUUUGGGUUGUAAACCUCUUUUUUCAAGGAGGAAGUUCUGACUUGUACUUGAAGAAUAAGCAUCGGCUAACUCCGUGCCAGCAGCCGCGGUAAGACGGGGGAUGCAAGUGUUAUCCGGAAUUAUUGGGCGUAAAGCGUCUGUAGGUUGUUUAAUAAGUCUAUUGUUAAAGCUGAAACUUAACUUCAGAGAUGCAGUGGAAACUGUUAAACUAGAGUAUAAUUGAGGUAGAAGGAAUUUCCAGUGGAGUGGUGAAAUGCGUAGAUAUUGGAAAGAACACCAAUUGCGAAGGCAUUCUAUUACAUUAUUCUGACACUCAGAGACGAAAGCUAGGGUAGCAAAUGGGAUUAGAUACCCCAGUAGUCCUAGCCGUAAACGAUGGAUACUAUAUAUUAGACGUAUCGACCCGUUUGGUAUUAAAAGCUAACGCGUUAAGUAUCCCGCCUGGGGAGUAUGCGCGCAAGCGUGAAACUCAAAGGAAUUGACGGGGGCCCGCACAAGCGGUGGAGCAUGUGGUUUAAUUUGAUGCAACGCGAAGAACCUUACCAGGGUUUGACAUGGUACAAAAUUUUUCGAAAGAAAAUGGGUCAUAGACACGUACACACAGGUGGUGCCUGGCUGUCGUCAGCUCGUGUCGUGAGAUGUUGGGUUAAGUCCCGCAACGAGCGCAACCCUUGUUCUCUAGUUUAAUCUAGGAAGACUAUCGGUUAUACACCGGAGGAAGGUGAGGACGACGUCAAGUCAGCAUGCCCCUUAUACCCUGGGCUACACACGUGCUACAUUGGGUAGAACAAUGAGAUGCGACUUUGUGAAAAAGAGCUAAUCUAUAAAUUUACUCUAAGUUCGGAUUGUAGGCUGAAACUCGCCUACAUGAAGUUGGAAUCGCUAGUAAUCGCUGGUCAGCUACACAGCGGUGAAUUCGUUCCCGGGCCUUGUACACACCGCCCGUCACACCACGGAAGCUGGUUAUACCCGAAGUCGUUAUUUUAACCUUUGGAGAAAGACGCCUAAGGUAGAACUAGUGACUGGGGUGAAGUCGUAACAAGGUAACC